GCAUAAUAAAUAGUUUUUUAAUUGAAAACUGGAAUGAAGGGUAGAAACUAAGAAGAGAGUUUUAUUUAAUAAAUUUGAAUUUAAAUUAGAAGUUAAAAUGCUUUUAUUAAUUUUUGGGACGAGAAGACCCUAGAAGCUUAAAAAUUUAAUAUUUUUUGAUUGGGGUAAUUUAUGAAGAAAUUUAUUUUUAUAUAAUUAAAGAUGGAAAUAAUAAAGUUACUCUAGGGAUAACAGCGUAAUUUAAUUAGCAAGUUCUUAUUAAUAGUUAGGUUUGCGACCUCGAUGUUGAAUUAAUA
rnacentral:rRNA from 1 species